AUACGUAGGGUGCGAGCGUUAAUCGGAAUUACUGGGCGUAAAGCGUGCGCAGGCGGUUUGCUAAGACCGAUGUGAAAUCCCCGGGCUCAACCUGGGAACUGCAUUGGUGACUGGCAGGCUAGAGUAUGGCAGAGGGGGGUAGAAUUCCACGUGUAGCAGUGAAAUGCGUAGAGAUGUGGAGGAAUACCGAUGGCGAAGGCAGCCCCCUGGGCCAAUACUGACGCUCAUGCACGAAAGCGUGGGGAGCAAACAGGAUUAGAUACCCUGGUAGUCCACGCCCUAAACGAUGUCAACUAGUUGUUGGGGAUUCAUUUCCUUAGUAACGUAGCUAACGCGUGAAGUUGACCGCCUGGGGAGUACGGUCGCAAGAUUAA
rnacentral:rRNA from 1 species